CGCACAUUGCGCCCUUUGGUAUUCCGAAGGGCAUGCCUGUUCGAGCGUCAUUAUCACCCCUCGAGCCCCCGUGGCUUGGCUUUGGACGGUCUGGUUAGGCGACUGACCCCUCCUAAAGACAAUGACGGCGGCCUCGCAGGACCCCCGGUACACUGAGCUUCUUAACUGAGCACGUAUCGGAUUGAGGGUUCUCGGGGCCCGGUCUCCUUUCCCCCCUCCCCUCGGGGGCGGUGGAAAACAAUCUUUCUCAGGUUGACCUCGGAUCAGGUAGGGAUACCCGCUGAACUUAA
rnacentral:misc_RNA from 1 species